AAAGUGUUGGCUCCUCUGACAUCCUGUCACCCCAUUGAUUGCCAGGGUUUGUUUGGCUGAUGUGGCUGGGCUGGUGGGCGUCCUGCUCCUCCCUCACAGUUCUGUGUUAUGUGUUUCCUGAAGCUGCACGCUCAACUCAGAGAGGAUGACCUUCCCCCAGGAUGGUUUUUCGGUUAAGGGUAAAUUAGUAGCUGUGCUCUCCUACUAGAACCUCCAAACAAGUUCCUUAGUAUCUUCUAAUGAUGACAAAUCAUUAUGAGAUCAUUAAAUAUAUUUUAUGUAUUUCAGU
rnacentral:snRNA from 1 species